GCCUGGGUGGCUCAGUGGGUUGAGCGUCUGACUUCCGCUCAGGUCAUGAUCUCAUAGCUUGUGAGUUUGAACCCCGCGUCAGGCU
rnacentral:tRNA from 1 species